GGAAAAAAAGAAACCACGGAUGCCCAGCGUCGCCACUUCGGUGUAACAUGGCUACAGGUCCUGGCCCGCACUUGGAGAAACAGGAAAGGAAAUGAGGGACCCUGCAUGCCAGGACCACUGAAUCCAUCCUGUGGGAAGCUAGCAAGGCUGCCUUCGAGGCCCAUUUCCUCCCCUGCGACCCUCCGUCAACUGCAAACUCCUUCUCUGCGUCCCUGAGCAUCACGGCAGAGCUGCGAUUUUCUGAAGUAGACACCACCUCCCUGAUUAGAGAGGAGGGCACAUGAGGCCACAACGCUGGGUGACUACCCAACGCCCUUUCCCGUCCCAGCCGGGGCCUCCCUGGGAAUGCUGAACCCUGAGUGGAUGUGACAGAGCCCGAGGGAACCUGCCCCCGCCUGACACAGAAAGGUCUCCACUGUCGUUGGUAUAAGGAGGGUUUAGUUGUCACUGUAAAUAUAAAUCAGUCAACUAUUUUCAACACUAAAAAUAAAAUGUCAGCCCGGCUGGUGUGACUCAGUGGUUGAGUGUCGACCUAUAAACCAG